rnacentral:siRNA from 1 species
ACGUCUUCGACCUACUAUGACGGA